AGAGUUGAACCAGGUUAGACUUGGUCAGCUAGCUGGUGUCUAGGCAAGUGGUUUGCGGGAUGACUGGGUCUGAAGGAAGGUGGUUUUUAAUUGGUUCCGUUCGCUGACCUGGCCAAUUUAAUUGGUGUCUAAGGAAAGCAACGGGGGGACUCCCACCAACCUUACAUUUAUCUGGCCAGUUGGUUGGUCAAGCUCCGACUUGGAAGGCUUGAAGGCUAACUAUAGUUAGGAGCUAUUUAGAACUAGGGUAACUUUAGGAUAGAGAGUCCACUGCGUACUAACUUGUUUGUAAUUAAAAUCUAACCACAACUAAUUCUUCUAUUAGUUUUAGGACUUCUUAGGAUCUCUUCUUUAGAACUCUUUUCUCUCUUCUCUUCUCCUCUUAAUAAAAAAAAAAAUAAUCCUUAACAGACUAGGAUAGUCCUACAUAGACCUUUUAGUUGCACAUUAGGUCGACGAUCACUAAAACCCUACUUGCAACCAUUAGACGAAGAAUUAGAAAAGACUCUUAGGACUAUCCGAGUUAGAAACAUGGUCGCACCUGGUGAGGCUAAUCCUCUACGCUCAUUGAGAGAAUAUUUCACUCCAUCUUCGUAUACCUACUCUCCAUGCAUUCAAGCAUCUCCAGUAGAAGCUACCCAAUAUGAGAUUAAGUCUAGCAUUAUUCAAAUGUUGCUAUCAUUCUAUGG
rnacentral:lncRNA from 1 species